GACGAACGCUGGCGGCGUGCUUAACACAUGCAAGUCGAACGGAAAGGCCCUGCUUUUGUGGGGUGCUCGAGUGGCGAACGGGUGAGUAACACGUGAGUAACCUGCCCUUGACUUUGGGAUAACUUCAGGAAACUGGGGCUAAUACCGGAUAGGAGCUCCUGCUGCAUGGUGGGGGUUGGAAAGUUUCGGCGGUUGGGGAUGGACUCGCGGCUUAUCAGCUUGUUGGUGGGGUAGUGGCUUACCAAGGCUUUGACGGGUAGCCGGCCUGAGAGGGUGACCGGCCACAUUGGGACUGAGAUACGGCCCAGACUCCUACGGGAGGCAGAAGUGGGGAAUACUGCACAAUGGGCGGAAGCCUGAUGCAGCAACGCCGCGUGCGGGAUGACGGCCUUCGGGUUGUAAACCGCUUUCGCCUGUGACGAAGCGUGAGUGACGGUAAUGGGUAAAGAAGCACCGGCUAAUUACGUG
rnacentral:rRNA from 1 species